rnacentral:lncRNA from 1 species
UAUUAUGCAGAUUUCAUCACGAAAUUCAUUCAUAUUAUGGUCUUCAUCCCCUACUUGGGUAUUCAUCGCAUGUCCUUCAGAGUUCGAUGGUUCGGCCAUAGGAAUAAAAUUUUUAUCACAAUCGCACAUAUCAAAGGCCCUAUUGGCAAUAGCAUUCUCUCGAAUGAAAUUGUGAAUUGCCAUGCAUGCUACUAUUAUUUUGCUUUGCUUGUGAUUGAAAAACUUGGUAUACCCAACAAAUCCUCCACUUCAUCUUCAAAACUCCAAAGGACCUCUCGAUAACAUUUCUAAGGGACGAAUGUGCGUAAUUAAAUGUCUC